rnacentral:lncRNA from 1 species
AAAAAUAAGAUUUGUCGAAAGACUAGGAGACAAAAAUAUCAGUAAAAAAUUUAGAAAUAUCACCAAUGGCCCUGAUAGGCAGAGAAUCUUCAUCCAGUGUAUGAAUUUUCUGAUGACUAUCAUAUCUUUUUACAUUGGUGUGAGGAACAAUGGCAUUGGUCUUGUGAUUUGAAGCUCUAGAAUCAAUAUACCAAGGUUUAGAUACGAAAUUAGAAUUACCUCAGUCCAAAAGUAGAAAAUGUAGAGAAUAUCAUCUACCGUACCAUUUAUGGAGUAAGCUGGACUAGAGAUUGAGGCAUGUUCUGUGGAAGAUCUACAGGCACCGACAGAAAAUAUGAAAAGCAG